UUUUAGUAGUUUAUAAAAACAUUGAUUUUGUAGUUCAAAGAUAUGGUGAUUUCAUCUAGAAU
rnacentral:tRNA from 1 species